rnacentral:rRNA from 1 species
AUUGAACGCUGGCGGCAGGCUUAACACAUGCAAGUCGAGCGGGGUGAUGGUGCUUGCACUAUCACUUAGCGGCGGACGGGUGAGUAAUGCUUAGGAAUCUGCCUAUUAGUGGGGGACAACAUCUCGAAAGGGAUGCUAAUACCGCAUACGUCCUACGGGAGAAAGCAGGGGAUCACUUGUGACCUUGCGCUAAUAGAUGAGCCUAAGUCGGAUUAGCUAGUUGGUGGGGUAAAGGCCUACCAAGGCGACGAUCUGUAGCGGGUCUGAGAGGAUGAUCCGCCACACUGGGACUGAGACGCGGCCCAGACUCCUACGGGAGGAAGCAGUGGGGAAUAUUGGACAAUGGGGGGAACCCUGAUCCAGCCAUGCCGCGUGUGUGAAGAAGGCCUUAUGGUUGUAAAGCACUUUAAGCGAGGAGGAGGCUCUUUUGGUUAAUACCCAAGAUGAGUGGACGUUACUCGCAGAAUAAGCACCGGCUAACUCUGUGCCAGCAGCCGCCGUAA